UGCCUGGGUCAUUUAUUCUCUGUUACUUCUCUCUGUGGAAAGGGAGGAAAAAAAAAAAAAGCCUCCUCCGCUAGUGAGCAAGCGCAGAGGAACUUCCUUAGUUUUGUCAAAGCCUCUUCCUGCUUUCAGGCUUUUAUACCUUAUAAGGCAGUUUUCAGUGUCAAACCUGAACCAAAUCCGUUUUAGAAACUCUUCUUUUUAUCUAGCAGCAACCAGGAGGUGAAGAGGAUGAAUUGCCAGUGAUAUAUAGCCUAAAACCUGAUUUCGGGAGGCAGCCCUUGGGAUUCAGCCUCCUUUUCCGCCGUGGCACGGCUUUCGGUGUCUCUGGAGACCUCGGUAGCAGAGCCUCGGAGGUGCCUGUGGGAAGGGUCACGCUGUGCCGCUUACGGCAGCGCACUCAGGAAGUGAAAACCGCUCUGCGAGCUGCUCCCUGCAGCCAAGAUUUGUAAUGCACUCUGCCACAUGCCAGUAGAAGCUUCUUCCCAUCUCGCAUGUAUGUGCAUUACAGGUAGUCCCGUUGUGGUAAUCCUGUCUUUCUAGGCUUGCAAAAUACAGGUUGUGAGCACUGGUGUCAAGAGAUUGGCUCAGAGCUUUCAGUGAUGCCAAGCAGAAGCAGCAUGCGAGAAUAUAGCAGUGUAAGAAAUGAUGUUGGCUUUUUAAUGGGAGAAGUGUACCAAGGGACCUUAGAGUUAAAAGCAAAUCUUCCUGAAGAGAUCGGAACAUAAGUACACCAUUAAUCAACUUAAUUGCACAGGGCAUACUCUAGCAUUCUUGUAUGUGAUGCUGACCAAAUCUUCUGCCUGUUUCAUGUACUUAUCCUUUUUUCCAGUCAUUGUAGAUCUCUCUAAGAUAGUGUUUUAUUGUCAGGCCAUGUUUAUUUGAAAACAACCCAAACAGUUCUGCUCUCACUUCUGUUUCUUAAGCGCUUGAAAGGGCGAGGUUCUUCUUUCUUCCCUGACAUUGUGCUCCAUAAAACUGUGGACAAAGACAUUUAGUGUUGAAAGCACACCAGAGAGUUGGGCUUGUUGGAUUUCAUUGAUUUAAAGUAGAUGAAGGUGUGAAGUAGUGAAUUAAUAAAGGAGAAAUCUAAUGCCUGACACAAUUAGGAAACAGGUGUGUUGGGAUGGGAUAGCAUAAUCACAUAGCUCUCGUUUUUUUAAUGCAACCCCAUCUCAUUUUGUGUGUAUAAGCGAGAUCACUGCACACAAAUCAUGUAAGUCUUGUGCUCUGUGCAGAUCAGCUGAGGAUUCAGCUACAUUACUGUGUGCUUGCUUUAAUUUUGGUGGACAAGACAAGUUAGAGCCACUGAAAGCAGGAAAAGAGGUUUAGAAAGCAUAACCAAUACGGUAAGGUUGAAAGAAGCUGUCUUGCGUAGAAUAGGCAGGACUUCAAAAGCGCACAAGUUUUCCAAUAAUUUUUUUUUUUUUUUUUUACAGGGAAGGGACAGUCCUUGGACUGUAAAUUAAUAACCUUAAUCAGCAAAAGGGCAGAUGGAGGAAGACACCCUCAGUAGCUCUUCUACAUGUUUUAUACAUGUAGUUACAGAUUCUGCAGGGUUCCGUUUGUUGACCUGAGUGGUGUACAUGUGUAUUUUGGCCAGCUAGCAUCCAGGGGGAAGGAGAAGGAUGAGAGGGGGAAGAGAUGGCUGAGUUGUGCUUUUCAGCAUCCGCCUGCACAGCUCAGGCGUGUUUUAAGAACCGCUUUUCAAGCAUAAAGGGAACAAAGCACAGAAGAGGUUAGGGAGAUCGUGUAAUACCUGUCAUUUGAUGUUUUAACAGUUAGUCAAAUGCUUUAGGGAUAGUCCAAGUAUAUGUCAUAUAGCUGGAGCUGGCAAAUGGGUAAAGUCAGUGACAUGGCAAUCGGAUUAUGGGUGCAGCAAAAUUCUUCCAGAAUUACACUUGUUAUUUUGAGCGAUGCAUUCCUCAGAAGUUCUUGUGCAUUCUUUGCUUGACCAAACCUGCUAUCUAGAAAAUAGGGUAAUGAGUAAGAGCAGGUAAAAUACCUAAUUGCAGUUAAAAACCAAACAAACCUUAGAUGAAGCAGUUUCUUCUUUAUUACAUAAUAAGGUUACAGACAUGGGAAUGAAAUAUCUGAAGAGCUCAGACAGUUAGCACAGUUUUAGCACAGGAUUAUUUCUUUCUGUAAUUGAUAGUGUUGUCUGGCUUAGUUUUAAGCAUAUUGCUGCUUUGUUGGGAAAUCUGUGAAACAAUAUUGGAAGUACUAGUGUCAGGAAGUAGUUGUCCAUGGUAAUGUUGAAUGGGAUAUAGCUUGGCUAAUGUGAACCCCUUUCUCUUCUCUUUGGAGGUGUGUGCUGUUCUUUUUAUGAUGUUCACCGACUCUGUAUGUAUGCUGUUAAUGAUACUUUGUAUUGAGGGGGGUGUAAGGACUAUGUGCAUUUUAAAAUAUGAAAAGGAAACGAAUCCAUAUUAUUUAUUUCAGGUAUAUGAACAACACACUAAAGAAAGAAAAAGCCUCUUAGUCAUUUUUUAAUCUCAGUAGGCUGGAGUCUCUUACUGCGUGUGUUUUGGGUAUUUGAAUAGUUCUUGCUGUUCUCUUCUAUGGGUGAACAUUGAACAGCCUGAAAGUCACGAUUAAAAGCUCUUCCUACGCCACUUCAGAAUUUAGCUUGAUUAGGUUGACAUCUAGAUUUGAGCUGUAUUUCUCUAAUCAUUGUGAACGUGGUUUUCUCUUAGUAUGAACUUGCACAACACUGAAUUAGCUCAUUUGGGAUGGCAGAUAAUUGCAAGUGUUCAAAUUAAUGGCUCUUCAGUUGAGCUGAACUAAGUGGCUGUGUAACCUACUGCAGUUCCAAAAUGAGAACUUCAUUUUAGCAAGGAAAAUGAUUUGAAGGAAAGUGUUUGUGUUUUCCAUACCUUAACUUUACAUUUUAUAGGCUUUCAUGCAGUUUUCUGUGGCUUCCAGGUGGAUCCGUUACCAACUGAUACUUGGCUGUCUCUAGUGAGUAGCUUUGUUCUAGCGUACCCCAAAUUCUUUUGCAUCAGUAGGGUCAUGGAUGAUUGUUAUCCCUCUGGGUAAACUAGCUUACACAGUUGAGAAGGAAAAAAUGUUGGUCUCCCUUGUUGAUUUUUUAUCUCUUUUUACAUGCUGAGCUAGGCACCUUUUUAUUUCCCUUAUACAGGUUACAAAAAUGGGUGCAUGUUUUUUUCUUCCUUUUUUAUCCCUCUGAAUUCUAGAAUUCAGAAUUAAAGGUUUUGGAUCAGACUUGAGAAAGCUGUGAUGUUCGCAGUGGGAGCACGAGUGUCCCUAGAGCCUCUCAGCUGAGAGCUGGGAAAGCUGAGGCUGCUCAGGAUUUCCAAGUCUUGUUCUAAAGUUGCAAACUUCUUUGGAAUCAGUUGUCUCCCUGAGAGUUUCCUGGGGAGUUUCUAUAACAAGUUUUGCCAAAAAUGAAGGAAGGCUUUGGUGUAUGAGACCUCAGAGAUGCUGGGGCUAGGGCUUUUCUGGUGCAUGCAGCAGAGCAAGCUUUGGGGGAUGCUUCUCAACAAAUCUUACUUCUACAGUUAAUCUUUGUGCAACACAUGUAAACCUUCAUGGUCUUAAGUAGACAAAAGUAUUUGUAGGUUGAGUGUGAAAAGUUGUAACAGGAUUGUGUUGUUCUGUUUCGCUUUUGGGUUUUGUCCUGGUAGUGUAAAAGAGUAUGAGAUCCAUGAGAAUCUAAUCUUCAGUAGACAACAAACAUACAUGAGACAAGGAACCAACAUAAGGGAAGUAACAGCCUGUAUUUUGUUUGAUCUGCAACUUUUGUGGUUCUACUCUUAGCUACUUAACAUAAAUUUCUUAAAAGUAACUUAUAUCGGGCCUUGAAAAGAGUUUUCUUUCCUAACAUUCCAGGCAUGGGCUAUUUCCAUGGAUUUUUCACAUCCUUACUUAUACUGAGUAUGAAUUGCUUCAGCACUGUGAUUUAUAACAGUGAACGUUUCCAUCAGAUGUCUUGUUGUGACUGUUCAUGGGUUCCAGUCUUCGUGAAAACUGCCUGUAUUGGGAUGAAUUCUCUCUAUUUUGUGUUAUCCGAGAAGUAAUUUUUCAGAACGGAAAGCAUGAAUGAAAUCAUUCCUUAAUGGAAUAUGGAAAAACAUUCUUCCAGGAUUUUCAGAAUAUCUUUUGCUUGCCAGUAAAUGAGUGGUCAGGGACGGAGGAGGAAAUGCUUCAUCCUUAACAUGAAAAAAGGUGUUGUGCUAGAUUGAGUUGGUGGCUUAAAAUAUAUAUAUUUUCAAUAAUUGAGAAAAGGUUCUGCAGACCUAUGAUUGACAGGAUUUCUUAAGUAAUUCUAGUACAUCACAGUCUGUUAAAAUGCUAUAAGCACUCAUUAUGUCCAUUAAAAUCCAUAUUCCUUUACACACAGAUUGCUGUAUAUUCCUCCCUCUCUGUAGGAAUGCCAUUACAGGAGUCAGCUUACAUAUUAUUUGAACGCACGUCAGAAACCAUUCAAGUUCCACAACACCUUUUGGUCCUUCUUUUUGCUUUCCUUGCCCUGCUUCCCACUUAAGCUUGAUAUUUAAAAAAAAAAAUAGGGGGGGGGGGAGGGGGAAAGGAAUACAUUUCUGAGCAGAGGACAAAACUGCUUGCAUCCAUGGGCCGGAUCUGUGAAGUUGCUGAUAAAUGAGCCCCCUUUCAUGUACAGCACGGCUCCUGGUCGGGCGUGCGUGGGAAGCUCAUGCAGCAGUUAAGAACAGAGCAUGGCCCUGGCGGUGGCGGCGGCUUUGGGGAAGGUGUGGGUGGCACAGAGCAGGCUCUCUGCUCCCUUCUUGGUCGCUUGUUAUUACCUCGCGUGAACACUUUGCCCAGAAAGGAUGUUGAUUGUAUGGGUGUGAUGCAUGUUUGAGCAUCUAGAUUAGUUGCAAAUACGGCUUCAAUGAAUUCACAAAUGCCAUACUCGUUCCUGAGUAGCAAUCCAUCUUCUCUAUUAUUUCAUAGGCACAAGACCAGCUGCAAAGUUUCUCAUUUAGUUCAUGAGUGUAAAAGUUUCGAUAUUUUGUUUCAUCAUUGCAGACUCUGGAAAAAAAAAUGCAAAAAAGCUUUGAUUUCCAACAAGACCUCUUUUAAUUUAGGUAUUGUUCAUUUAAAGACUUGAAGGAGAAAAUUAUAAAUCCAAGGGUAAAACAACUAAAAUUUUAGUCAGUCCCAAUGAAAUAGAAAAAGGAAUCUUUGCAACUUCCUCUUUUUAGUCAAUGAACUAAAAUAUACAUAGGUGUACUGAUCUAAUAUUAUCCUUGGGUAGAUCCUUAAAAAUACUGCUUUGAAUGCAGACUUAGAAGUGCCCGAAUCGGGGUUAUUUUAACCAUCAAAAUGAUACUGAUCUGUCCUUUCCAAGUGCUACUGCUGAUGUUGCCUUAACUUUCUGCAAAGGAAUCAGUUGCCAAGGGAGGAUUAUAUCCAAGUUGAAGAAGUCAUUGUUUCAUCCACUGACUUUCUGUAGGUCACAAUGUCAGUCUUUUUUUUUUUCCCUCCCUCCUUCUUUUUUUUGACCUGAGCGUGACUUUGCUUUUUUAAGCCUAGAUGUGGAAAGUAGAAAAUCUAGAUAUCGUUUUUCUCUGCAUAAUUCUCUUGUGGUCACUGCGAGUGUCUGCAGCUGUGCGCUGGAUGUGUUAUGUCGUGAUCAGUCUGUAGAGAACAAGAUGCAGGCAGGAGGCUGUCCGCUCUAUUUUGAUUGUAUCCUGCUGUCAGUGAAUUAAUCCAAAUUUUAAUAAUGUAGUUGAUGCAAUAUCUCAUCAAUUUUUCAAUGUCCACUUUUGUCAUGACUUGCCUUCAAUUUCUCAUGCUGUUUAUCAUCUGCAAGAACUCUCACAAUAUGACUUGCUAAAUGAGACCUACCUUUUAUUACACCAAAACUCAGUGAUAGAUUUUCAGCCCCAGCUUAGUAAGGCACACUUUUCUACAAGCAACUCUUUCUAAUUCAAAGCCACAUUUUAAUAGAAGUGUGGUGUGAUCAGGUAAGUAUGUAAAUUGAUAUUUCUAUGCAAGCAUAUCCUUUUCAGAAAGUGCUUGGCUACCUGCUGAAGAGGUGGCCAGUACUGAGCAGGUGGGAAGCCUGAGCUGCCAGCAGGGCUUGCUGCGGGCUCCUGGUCUCCUCUCCAUGGUCUGCCAGUCCCUUUGGGUUCAUCUUGCCCUCUGCUGGGAUAUCACUGGGGUGACAGCACACAGCUGUCCGUUCAGGGCUGCAGCUCUCAGGCACAGCUGUAGUGCCAAUAGCAAGCAGAAGUGAUCUUCUCUCUUUUAAUCUGGAUUAACUAUUUACACUUUUAGCCAAUGCAUUGCAUUUUCUUGGGAAAAACCAUCAAGUUCACUCAGGUUUGUGCAAGCUGUGGCUCCAUCUGCAUCAUGGCUUGAAGGUUUUGCCAAUCCCAUAUCCAUGAGCAUGUUGCUGUGGUGUGUUGGUCACCAGCAUCCCCAGUGCAGGGUUUUGUUCACUGGGAAAUUGUGUAUUUGUUGGUUAAAUUGGUCCCUUCUUGUUUCAGCUGUCAAAUAUUAGGUAUACUCACCUAUUCUUUUCUUUCACUAUGUCUGCACGGUGUUCAGCUUGUUUUGGACAAACAGUGUGGAAAGUUGCAAAGUUAAUCUCCCUCUCAUAAAAAGUAAUUUACAGUGUAAGGAAUCAGUCAUGAUGACUUCCGGACUUGGGGUAUUGUUUCCUCCUACUUGGACAUCCUACAUGGAGGAGUCAGACUAUAGAAAGUGCUCAGAGAGCAAAUUAAAUGUAAAUUAAAAAAAAAAUCUGUAUAGGUUAGUAUUGUGUGGGUGUGGUGUAACACAGAGGCACUGUUAAAAUGCUUUUUAAAAUGAUUUAAUAUAAAAGUCUCGAAGGAAGCAGCGAGGAAAAAGAGAGCAUUCUGCUUUUGCCAACACAAACUGCUUUCAUUAUGCAAAGAUAAUAUCCAAGGCCGUUUGCCUCUCUGACUUUGAGGAAAAUGUAUUCAAAGCAGAACUAACUCCAUUCUGUGCUAAAGGACAUGUCAGCAUUAAAUAUCUGAAAGGGAUUUUACAAAUAGAAAUCAAAUUGACUAGGACUACAAGUUUAGAUGUUAUUGACAUCAGGGUGUCUGACCUUGGGUUUUGUUAGCCUUAGACGUUUAAGUAGGGGUGGCUUUCAGGUAUGCUGCUCGUGACUCACUCCUAACCUAAGGUCUCUCGCUAAUAAAUGCAUCUUAUCUUCCUGCUGACUUCAGGAGGGGAGAGCUUCUAGAGUCGAUUCUCAAUGCUGUUGGGGCUUUUAAUUUAAAUCAAAGAUGCAAGUAAACAUAAAGCAAUCUUGAACGUAGAUUCUCUUCUGUUCUGCCCAAAUGCUAGGAAAAUUCCCCUCAACUGUUAGCAAAAUAGGAGCUGUGCACAGUGGUAGCUUUGAGCUUUGUCUUCUCCCCAGGCUGCAGUUAAUAAGAUUCUCCAGGUGCCAGUUUUCAUAUGCAGCUGACCUUAUUGUGAGUGUCUGUAGUGCCUGCUGCUGCCUGCACUCCUUUUACACACACCUGGAGGCUUCUGUCCAUUUGUGGCCAUGACUUGGCAGUUUUUAUUGUGCUUUAAGCUCGAUUUUACUGGUGAGCAUUGCAAUGGUAUCUGUACUUUGAGUUGCAGGUGUAGCUGUGAAGAAAAAGCAGAACCGUGUUUUUGUCAAGGAUUCUUUAUUCAGAUACUUAAAAAAAAAAAAAAAUGUUAGCCUUCCUUAGUUUUUUUUCCUCUUUUCAGGAAACAAACACUUCUAACAAACAUUUAUUUUGAGCUGCUUUUGACAUUGCACUGCUUUAAUUUUUGACAUUACCUUUCAAAUUGCAUACCACUUCAGUCUGCUUCUGUUCUGUCUUACCCUGUCUGUUACGGCAUAUGGCAAAGAAGUGUUAGUUGUCAAGGUGACUUUUUUUCUUCAAGUGGCUUGAUGCAGUAUUCCACCUGAGAAGCAAGGAAAUGGUUUCAAAUACGUGCUAAUGCUGUUCAUUCCAAGGCCAAAGUUGCAAACUGCCAAAUCCCUCUCUGGUGCCCAGGGGUCCCAUACGUACUUGAGAGUACUUUAGCCAUCACUUGAUGUGUCUUUUAUGCAUUAACCAGGAUCUAAAAGCAUUUCUAAUCUUGUGUGCUUUUUCCAUUUGUAGAACUAACGCUUUGGCUUUCACUAUUGAGUGCUUGAAACAUUUUUGAUCAAUGGGUGUUUUAAAACUUUUCAUCUAAGCAGCUGCUAUUUAAAAAAAAAAAAAAAAAAAAACACACACA